rnacentral:rRNA from 1 species
UACGGGGGGGGCAAGCGUUGUUCGGAAUUACUGGGCGUAAAGGGCUCGUAGGUGGCCAACUAAGUCAGACGUGAAAUCCCUCGGCUUAACCGGGGAACUGCGUCUGAUACUGGAUGGCUUGAGGUUGGGAGAGGGAUGCGGAAUUCCAGGUGUAGCGGUGAAAUGCGUAGAUAUCUGGAGGAACACCGGUGGCGAAGGCGGCAUCCUGGACCAAUUCUGACACUGAGGUGCGAAAGCGUGGGGAGCAAACAGGG